GGAGUCUGGGCCGUGUCUCAGUCCCAAUGUGGCCGGUCGGUCUCUCAACCCGGCUACCCAUCGUCGACUUGGUAGGCCGUUACCCCACCAACUAUCUAAUGGGCCGCGAGCCCAUCUCUCACCGCACAAGGCUUUCCCGUAUCGAUCAUGCGAAAGAUACGGAGUAUUCGGUAUUAGCACAAAUUUCUCUGAGUUAUUCCGAAGUGAGAGGCAGGUUGCUCACGUGUUACUCACCCGUUCGCCACUCUACUUACACCCGAAGGUGCUUUCUCGUUCGACUUGCAUGUGUUAAGCACGCCGCCAGCGUUCAUC
rnacentral:rRNA from 1 species